CCUUCGAUAGCUCAGUUGGUAGAGCGGUGGACUGUAGUAUUGAGCGUUUCGACGCACUCACAUAGAGUAAUCCAUAGGUCACUGGUUCAAAUCCGGUUCGAAGGA
rnacentral:tRNA from 1 species